GGCCGUCUAGCUCAGUUGGUUAGAGCGUCGUGCUAAUAACGCGAAGGUCUUGGGUUCGACCCCCACGAUGGCCA
rfam:Fibulorhizoctonia sp. CBS 109695 unplaced genomic scaffold FIBSPscaffold_90, whole genome shotgun sequence.